AUUGAACGCUGGCGGCAUGCUUUACACAUGCCAGUCGAACGGUAACAGGCCUUCGGGUGCUGACGAGUGGCGGACGGGUGAGUAAUGCAUCGGAACGUACCCAGAGGUUGGGGAUAACGCAGCUAAAGCUGUGCUAAUACCGCAUGUGAUCUGAGGAUGAAAGCGGGGGACCGAGCAGCAAUGUUUGGCCUCGCGCCUUUGGAGCGGCCGAUGUCGGAUUUGCUAGUUGGUGGGGUAAAGGCCUACCAAGGCGACGAUCCGUAGCUGGACUGAGAGGACGACCAGCCACACUGGGACUGAGACACGGACCAGACUCCUACGGGAGGCAGCAGUGGGGAAUUUUGGACAAUGGGCGCAAGCCUGAUCCAGCAAUGCCGCGUGCGGGAAGAAGGCCUUCGGGUUGUAAACCGCUUUUGGCAGGAACGAAACGGUGUCCGCUAAUACCGGGCGCUAAUGACGGUACCUGCAGAAUAAGCACCGGCUAACUACGUG
rnacentral:rRNA from 1 species